UUCUCCUGCCUCAGCCUCCCGAGUAGCUGGGAUUACAGGUGCCCACCACCAAGCCCGGCUAAUUUUUGUGUUUUUAGUAGAGACGGGGUUUCACCAUGUUGGCUAGGCUGGUCUCGAACUCCUGACCUCAAGUGAUCCACCCACCUUGGCCACCCAAAGUGUUGGGAUUACAGGCAUGAGCCACUGUGCCCAGCGGGUUUUGCCUUCUUUUUGUCUUCACUGCUGCUACAGAAUGUAUUUGCAAGGGAGUCAACUCACAACUGAAGAAAUGAAAUUAAUGGUCACUUGAAGAACUGCAUUAACUGAAGAUGCAGCGGAGUAGCCUGACUCAGGUCACAAAGUCACUUCCCUCAUAUUGCUUUAAAUUAGGUUGCUACCUUAUCAGGUUGAUAGCCUGACAUUCCCCCUACCAUGGACAUGACACUCUAGGAAUGAGCCUUCUAGCAAUAAGGGACUAAGGUCCUGAACAUAAAAGGAGCCAAAACCAUUUGAGUUCAUCUAUGAAGCUUUCUUCCAAAGAUCUUGAUGAAAAGGGGGAAAUGUGAAGUUAAAUAAUUCAAGCUUAAAGCUGUUGAAACCUCGAAUUAACCUGAGCCUUGAGAGCAAUGUGGCUAUGCAAUCUCGGUCACAUGGGUUGCAGCUGCAACUUCUGCCUUUAUUUCUUCUUGUUAGUAAUUAAGAAGACCCAAGCUGCACCAGAGAUGAGACCCCCUCAGAUCAUUGCCCCUCCUCAUGGAGUAAUAAAGUAAUCUUCCUUGGUAUGAAGCAAUCUGUAACCAAUCCAAUUGCUGUGAUGUAUGCACCUGGCCUUGUAGGGUAGCUGAUGUAAUCUUCCUGGAACUUCUCUACUGAUAUCAAUGAAACCUUAACUCCUCCACGUUGGAAACUCUGAGCCCAUUCCUUUGGAGUUGGUACUUUCACUGGUAGCCAUCCUUAAGCUUUGCACUUGAAUAAACUCUAUACUCAAUCACACUUUCUGAAUCUCAUUCUUUAAGGUUAACACUUCCUUCCAAAGGCUCUAGGUGACAACUCUUUGCCUCUUUUCAACCUCUGGUGGCUCUAGGCGUUUCUUGGCUUGUAGCCGCCUCACUCCAAUGUCUGCCUCCAUUUCAUGUGGGGUCCUCCUCUGUCUUCUAUGUGUCUCUUACAAGGUCACUGUCAUUAGAUUUAGGGUUCAGGAUCAUCUGGGAUGAUCUCAUCCCGAGAUCCUCAAUUUGGUUAUAUCUGCAAAGAUCUUUAUUCCAAAUAAGGUGACAUUCACAGUUUCCGAUGGUUAGGACAUGG
rnacentral:lncRNA from 1 species